ACGCUGGCGGCGUGCUUAACACAUGCAAGUCGAACGAGAAUCUGUGGAUCGAGGAUUCGUCCAAGUGAAGCAGAGGACAGUGGCGGACGGGUGAGUAACGCGUGAGGAACCUGCCUUUCAGAGGGGGACAACAGUUGGAAACGACUGCUAAUACCGCAUGAUACGUUUUAGGGGCAUCCCUGAGACGUCAAAGAUUUAUCGCUGAAAGAUGGCCUCGCGUCUGAUUAGCUGGUUGGUGAGGUAACGGCCCACCAAGGCGACGAUCAGUAGCCGGACUGAGAGGUUGACCGGCCACAUUGGGACUGAGAUACGGCCCAGACUCCUACGGGAGGCAGCAGUGGGGAAUAUUGGGCAAUGGGCGCAAGCCUGACCCAGCAACGCCGCGUGAAGGAAGAAGGCUUUCGGGUUGUAAACUUCUUUUAAGAGGGAAGAGCAGAAGACUGUACCUCUAGAAUAAGCCACGGCUAACUACGUG
rnacentral:rRNA from 1 species